rnacentral:rRNA from 1 species
GAUGAACGCUGGCGGCGUGCCUAACACAUGCAAGUCGAGCGAGGGUUUGCUCAGUAUUGAGUAUUCUAAAACUAGAAUGUUCAAUUCUGAGCAAAACCAAGCGGCGGACGGGUGAGUAACACGUGGGCAACCUGGCUCAUAGAGGGGGAUAACAGAGAGAAAUUUCUGCUAAUACCGCAUAAGCACACACUGCCGCAUGGCAGGGGGUGAAAAGAGAAUCGCUAUGAGAUGGACCCGCGUCUGAUUAGCCAGUUGGCAGGGUAAGAGCCUACCAAAGCGACGAUCAGUAGCCGAUCUGAGAGGAUGAACGGCCACAUUGGGACUGAGACACGGCCCAAACUCCUACGGGAGGCAGCAGUGGGGGAUAUUGCACAAUGGGGGGAACCCUGAUGCAGCGACGCCGCGUGAGUGAAGAAGUAUUUCGGUAUGUAAAGCUCUAUCAGCAGGGAAGACAAUGACAGUACCUGAAUAAGAAGCCCCGGCUAACUACGUGCCAGCAGCCGCGGUAAUACGUAGGGGGCAAGCGUUAUCCGGAUUUACUGGGUGUAAAGGGAGCGUAGACGGAAUGGCAAGUCUGAAGUGAAAUGCCCGGGCUCAACCCGGGAACUGCUUUGGAAACUGUCGAUCUGGAGUGUUGGAGAGGUAAGUGGAAUUCCUGGUGUAGCGGUGAAAUGCGUAGAGAUCAGGAAGAACACCGGAGGCGAAGGCGGCUUACUGGACAAAGACUGACGUUGAGGCUCGAAAGCGUGGGAAGCAAACAGG